UGGAUGCCAUCCGAAUUUGACUGUAGCCCGCCAAGGGAUCCAUAAAACUUAAAAAUUGAUGUCUCGAAGUCACAUCCACUAGUUGAUCGAUUUUUGAUAAAGAGAAACUGUCCUUUGGACAAGCUUCAUUUAGAUUGGUGUAUUCGAUGCAGAUUUAUCAUUUUUCAUUGGCCUUUUUCACCAUUACUACGUUAGCGAGCCAAUCU
rnacentral:lncRNA from 1 species